GGGGGAGGGGCUGCUGAGGAAGGCCACAGGGGCUAAGGAGGAUUUCCUCAGAGCUUUUGGGAAGCUAUACGUUCCUGGCCCCGAGGUAAAGCUCCCACAGGCUGCUUGACCCAACAGAGCAGCUCCUACCCACUGGGAUUCUCGGUCUGCAGGAAUCUGGCAUCCACCUGGGGAGCAUCUGGCUGAGGCAGCCUGGAGACAGGCACGCACCAGAAGACUUCUGGUUCCAUCCAGGCCCAAGGACCACUGAACUGGAGCGGUCUUCUCCAUCCCCCAGCAAGCCUGUGCGUGAGCUGGGGACAAGGGGCAGAGGAGGCAGAGGUCCCCCUCACACCAGGAAGGGAACAGCGCCACUAAAGGGCCUGGUGGAGGCAGGGUGGAGGUGGAAGGAGACUCAGCAGAAGGGAUGAGGAAACUGAGGCUGAGAGGGUAGAGAACUUUGCCUGAGGUCACUCAGCAGGGACCCACCCAUCACAGUAAAUGCCAGCACUGCUGAUGCCAAAACAAUGUUAUUUGUGCCUGAACACCCUGUCCUACCUGGUCCUACCUGGAUGCUGGCCUCAGUAAGCUCCUGGGCUCAUUGAAGAUGAACCUAGCAGUAGUAUUUACACCACUUGUUGUGUGCCCACUGUGGGCCCGGCGCCAUGCCGAGUGCUCUAUGGAUGUGAGAUGAGAACACUGAAGCAGUUUUUUCUAAAGAUAGCUGCCUGGCACAGUGGCUCACAUCUGUAGUCCCAGCAUUUGGGGAGGCCAAGGCAGGUGGAUCACUUGAGGCCAGGAAUUCAAGACCAGCAUGGCCAACAUGUUUUCCAUCCUUCCUUCAGUGCUGGGAGAGAAAAGCAUACGACAUAGACAGGGAGGUCAAGCUCCACCACGCAGAUGAGGUGCAGGCCACCAGUCUUCCUCUGCCACAUCUCUUUCUGAAAAGGACUUCACAUUCACCCUUGCAAUCCAUGUGGGGACACUGUUGGAUAGGAGGCGUGGUCCCAGCGUGGUCUCCCUGUCUGGGCCUCUGCCUAUGCCAAAUGUUUGCCUUACGCUGCACACUCAAGAGGUUCCAUGUAUACAGAUGGGAAUUCCAGAGCUACAGAAAAGGCAGCAAGCACCAUGAUUUAAGCUAACCAGUGUGGAUUCACACCUUCCUCUCUCUCUAUCAGUGGCAGAACUACCAGCUAGAGUAAGAAGUGGUUGAUCCAGGACCUAAACAUUCUGGAAACUCUUGCCCACUUCUGGGAGAAAUGACCCAAUCCAUAGUACUAAGCACACCUUAACUUUCGUAGGACGCAGGCAAGUUGUCAUACCGUGUGCCUAAAUAUAGAAAAAUGAUCCACUGGACUAAUAAAGUGUUAAAUAAAAUA
rnacentral:lncRNA from 1 species